GUCGAUUUCAUUGGAACUUGGAGAUUUUUGGAAGCCUGACUCUAAUUGGCUCACUGAUAAAUCCUCACUUCUAGACUUCAGUAAACUUUGGAGAAAGCUUGAUGAUCCAUCUUUAGGUGAUGGAUCUGAUAUUUUGUUUGUUUCAUUUAAGCUCUCCACAUGUUGAAGACAAACUUGAACUGCAUCAUGAACUCUCACAAAAAACCACUCCUUGCCAAUAAGCUCAACGACGCCAGAUCUUGAAAAUGUAAGCAGAACAUCUCGAUUCGGAUUGGAAAUGGCAAUCUGAAUAUCGCGAAGUUUG
rnacentral:misc_RNA from 1 species